rnacentral:pre_miRNA from 1 species
UCUUCAUUUCACGUGCUCUCUCACCAGUCAGAGAGGCGAGAGAGAGAGAGUGUGAAAUGAAGAGA